UUCCUGGAGGACUAGUGGUUAGGCCUCGGUGCUCCCACCCUCACGACCCAGAUUCAAUACCCGGCCAGGGAA